rnacentral:rRNA from 1 species
UUCGUAGGCGGAAUAUUAAGUCAGUGGUGAAUCUUGCCGCUUAACGGUAAAAUUGCCAUUGAUACUGAAGUUCUUGAAUAUGGUUGAGGUAGGCGGAAUGUGUUGUGUAGCGGUGAAAUGCAUAGAUAUGACACAGAACGCCGAUUGCGAAGGCAGCUUACUAAGCCAUUAUUGACGCUGAGGCACGAAAGCGUGGGGAGCGAACAGGAUUAGAUACCCUGGUAGUCC